AAGAGUUUUGCAUUCAACAUUUUGGUGGGUAUUUUCAAAAUUUUGUAAGCUGAAUGUGUAGGGCCCGCAAUACACUAUAGCAACACCUGUUUUUGAAGAGUUUUUUUUCAGAUUGCCGCUCUUUUGAACAGAUGGUUUGAAGAGUUUUGCAUUUAACAUUUUGGUAGUUAUUUUCAAAAUUUUGUAAGAUGAAUGUGUGGGGCCCGCAAGAUACUGUAGCAACGCGUUUUUGAAGAGGUAUGUAGCAAGUUUGAUUACUUUUUCCA